UGCGACUAGGCCUGGUAUAAUGCCAUUCUUAUUCUUUUUCGUAUAAUCUCACAAGUAGUUCUCUUAAAAUAAAAACGAAUUUACUUAUUAGGACGUUUCCACCAGAUUUCUUUGAGGCAUUCUAGCAAACAGCUGUUGCAUGCCUUCUAAAGGUUGGCACUUAAAAAGUCCUGUGCUGAGUUUUUGCAGACUUCACCUGCCAAAUUGAACCGUUUUCAAAGCCUCUAAUACGCACCGUUUUUAGCCACUUCGCCGCACCUGAAAUUCAAAACGCUGCGUUAUCAAGCUGUCACUACGCAGCACUAGCCAGUGGCCGCUAUAUCUUGCGUCACCAAGAUGAAGGGGAAAAAAAUUUCGCGGGAGUAAUCAGAAGCCGAAAAAUGUCUAGUGAUUCGAAAUUCUCCCUUCUAUGCCAUCUGAUCGAUGAUUCCGUUCGUCCGUUCACUGAAUCGGAAGUGAUUUCUUUAACCAGAGACAAGGAGAAGGAUCUUCUAAUUGCUCUCUCUCGGGUCUUGAGAGAAAUUCAGCUUAUGAAGCUGGCACUUGAUUGCGAUUCUGAUAAAGAAGUGGCUCCGGAACUUGCUUGUGACAAAGACGUUGGUGGAUCAGGGAUGCAUCAUGAGGACCAUAACUGUUUGAUCAAGAUACUAGCAGACUUGAUAAUUCUUCUAACGGUUGAGAGUCGAUUUGUACAACACUUGGUGGGCAACAUUCUUGUAGUCAUUUCUGAGUUCGUGGCUGCAUCUGGAAAGGAGUGGGAUUCUUUCAUUCAUUCAUUGUUUAUUUGUCUGGAAUUGGCAAUUGCCAAUAUGUUGUCACACUUUCUGGCACCUUCAAAAAAUGGAGCUGGGGACUCCAGUUAUGACUCAUCUAGUUUUUUUCUCUUAAAAUCUCGACUGGAAAAUGCUAACUGGUCUACAGCAGCUACAAUUAUUCGAGUUUUACGCAAAACAUUAAAAUAUUUGAAGCAAGAGGAUGAUGAUCACCUUUGCGAAAUGUACUUGGAUUCUGCCAGUUCUUUUCUUUCAGAUGUGCCUUGGGAUUUCAUGGAUGAGAUUCAAAUUGGUCAGAGUAGCGAUGCUAAGGAAAAUGAUUCUCAGAAUAGUCAUUUUAUUGAUGCUUUAUUUGUUAGAAAGAGUGGUGAGAAGGACGCAAGAGUUGUAUUUCUUGGGAAUUUUAUCCAGUUCCUUUGUUCAUUGGUUGAGCAAAGCUGUGCUGUGGAACCCAAGGUUGAUUCCUAUGAUCAUCAUCCAGUUCUUUGCAUAAUCAUCAGUUUUGUGCCCAAACUUUUAUCUUGGUGCCUCGGCAAGCAUGAGAAUUUUCUGAAAAUGUCUGUCUCUCAGUACUUCAGGCAUAAAUUGUUGAUGCUAAUGCUGAGGCUUAGUUACCAGACUUGUUUAGGUUGCUCUACUCUCAUUUCAUGGUUGCAACUUCUUCACGUUUACUUUGAAGAGCUCUUGUGGAAACCCAUAAUCAAACUUGAUUUUGGUCAGGAAGAAUGCCUUGAAGGUUCUCCAUUUUUAUUGAGUCUUUCUGAUAGAGUACAUGGAAUCAAUUCUCAUCACUUACAAAGGUGGACCGUUCUUCUUUUCGUAAAGUGUUGCUUCAGUCUGAUCAGCUUGACAAGGGAAACUAGCAAGCAAUGUGGAUGUGCGACUCUCAACUCUUCUUUGACAUUUGACUCAAUAUCAGACCUGGACAGUUAUGGUAGAAGGCAAGGCUUCUUAGAGCUCUACAAAUGGCUUCAAGGGCAUCUUCCAACUGAUACGUUUCUGGAUCAUGAAAUGUAUUUGGAAAAGUGUAGAGGUUUUUCCUUAUCUUUCCUCCAGUUAUAUAUGCAUGAGGAUGAUAUAUUAUUUAAGGUGCUUUUGGAACUGCUUAGCAUACAGCCCUUUUUAGAGCAGCAAUCAAAUAAAGAAAAAUGGACAAAUGGAGAUGUCAAACAAGAUACUCUUUUUUAUGUUGCAAGCAUUUUUAAUCCUGUAAACCUGUUCCAUCUGUUCCUUGCAGAGGCAAGUCUUUUGCAUUCACAAGGUUUGAUGUUUAUUUUUCCUGUAAUUUCAUUUGUGAUUCUUAUUCUCUUGCAGUUGCAUUAUGAUCAUCAAGUGCUUCUUGAUUACCUUAUUUCUAAAGAUACAGGAAUCACUUGUGCAGAAUAUCUUUUAAGGUGUUUGCGUACAGUAUGCAAUUCAUGGAACUUAUUCAUAACAUUUUCUGUGCAUAAGAAAAUUGUGGAUCAAUCAUCUUGCAAGAAAAGAAAAAUAUAUUCGGAUGGCUUUAAUCUUCAGGUGGAGGCAUCAUCUAUAACUAUAAAAGAUAUUUCUUCAUCACUUGAAGACAAAUGCAAGAAAGAUAUUGAAUGUAGCCACAAGCACUGGAAAAACACAAGCCAACCGUUCAAGAAAGCCAAAAAUUGUUUGCUUUCUUUAAAAGAUUCUGUAGAAAAUCUUCAUCGGAAGAAUUUGUUUCCAUAUAAUCCUGAAGUUCUCUUGAAACGUUUAACAAAAUUUCAGGAAUUAUGCUUUGAUCAAAAGAGUCGUGGCUUUUCCUGAACUCGAGGAACUAUUUAGGAACUUGCGCUGCAUUAGAAUUUGCAUCUGUUGCUUUAAGAUUAUAUGGUAAAUCAGAAUCAUAUUGCUUAAAGCACUUGAUCAUCUCCCAAGUUCUUCAAUCCAAAUUGUUGUGAUGUACUGUUGAAGUAUUCUUAACCAUUUGACAAAUUGAUUGAUGCUUGAGUAAAGACUAGUUGCCUGAUGACAUUGUGGUUAACAUGAGCGUAACCAUCCAUUUGAAGAUUCCAUCAACCUUAUUUUGGCACUUGGAAUAUUCUUUAUUUGUCUUUUAAUAAUGAUGUGGAGUAUAUGCACGGAAAAUUUGGAUCAGACAACUAAAUGUAUGCUCACCGUUAGAGUCUUUAAAAUCUUUCCUAUUUAAUUUUAUUCCUUAUUUGAGGAAUCGUUAACCUAGGAAUUCAUUAGCUGCAUAUUCCUAAUUAGUUGUAAUUCCUGUAUAUUCCUAAUUUGUUGUAUUUUUCCUUUAUUUGUGAAGUCUUUUGGAGUAUAUAUAUUUCUUGUAUUUAUAACUUUCAGAAAUAUAAGAAAGCAGAGUAUAAUUUUGAUCACUCGCUAAAGGAAGGGAUCAAAGUCAUCCCUCUUCCUAUA